rnacentral:lncRNA from 1 species
GAAAUUUUAGACGGGUUCUGGAAGACCAUACUAAAAUGUUACAUAACUGGGCGACGAAAUCAAGACGCACCUUGCAUUCUCGAUAAUGUCAAAGUGCAUCGUUGAUGUGCUCGCUUGGAAUUCAGAGAUCGGAUGUAUAGUCAGCAUAAUUGAUGAUACCAGCACUGUCUGACAUUUUUGCAUCGUAAACACGAUCGCUCGAUGGAACAUGGACAAAUUAUGACGGAUAACACAGUCGUACUUUGCACAGUGCUACAUUAGGGUCUAGCGAUUUUACAAAGUUUGCUUUUCACUAUUUUAAAAUUUUCCAUUUACAUUUUCAUAUCAAAUUAAUUCUAUUAUUAGUCAGUACAGUUGAACUCAUCAUUUUCAUCAUAUAUGGAAACCUUGCAUAAUAUCAAUUAAGAUCUCAAUACCUACGUUUCUCCUUUUUAUCUUCUCAUUUUUUAUAUCAACAUAAUGCAAAUCUUUCGUAUGAGUCUCGACGCAGAGAUCAAAGAAUUAUAGAUAUUUGAAGAAAAACCGCAGAAAAUACUUAAAAAAUAAACAAUUUAUUCGUUCAUCCACAUCAGCAAAGUGGCGGCACGAAUAUAUACAUUUCCGCUAAAAUUCUCCUGCUCAAAUCAAUACGCAAUUUGUUUGCUGGCAGCGAUGGCACACACGAGCGCGGUGAAUGUCACAAGAUCGAUCGUGCCAUGUAUUUCGUGCAUCGGAGAAUCUUUUUCCUAUGACAUGCAGUAUAUAUAUAUUGCGUAAGUGUGGGUGACCAGCUGUGACAUGUACGACAUGAUUGCUACGAUUGGAGGCGGUCCUCAUCGCCCGUGAAUGAGUGACCGAGGCAUAAAGUUCUCAGAAAAAAGCGGGAAAACCUUUGUGAUGAAAGGUCACCGCGUGUGCCGAUGGACGAGGGUGAUUAGACAGAGCGGGGACAUCCGCAGUGUAGGCGUCAGGACGCCGGGCGCCUAUGUAUUGACCGACCCUACUCAAAUCUAUUGCUAGUUUCUCGAGUGCCUGGUGCCUAUUCGGUAUCGGCCGCCAAUUCGGUUGCCUUUGCUUGUAUAGAAUAAACAGCUGGGAGGAUCUCUUUCCGGUGGAAAUAUACUUCUACUUAAUGGAGACGAUUAAUAUGUGUGUAGCGAGAGCUGAGAGUCACGUGUAUAAUGGAAUGUUGUUUGUUCAUGCUAGAUCAGCUUGCAACACUUGAGAGUUUGGGAGACCACAGAUGGGAAUUCAGAAUUCUCGACGAUAGCUUGUGCAAACGCAUCUGGACUUAUCUGUGAACGUCAGCCAGGGUGAAUGACCGCGGCGGAGGAUGCCCUUAAGGAAUUCGAAAAUUUUAGGCGCAAUAGAUAAGCAGAAAAUCGCGCGUCUUCCGUUCCACUUCCAAAUAACGUUCAACUCCGCUUUCGCAUUGGCAAAUAUUUACUAGCAGCAGAUCUGGUUCCAUUGGUCUCAGCAUCAGCCAGGUCCGGCGACCAGUAGAAGGGAGAGAUGCAGGCGAUGUUAUACAUUUCGACAUUUACCGCAUCCCCUGAGAAAAAGUAGAAGUGAUUCUAGGUAAACCUAGAGGACUCGUGUUCUCUUUGAAGUUUGUCCUUUUGCGGAUAAUAAGAGUUCCUCGAAAAUCGAUUGAGAAGUACGGAGGAUCAUCUCUGGCCAUCAAUCUCGCGGCUCUUCAGAAGUCGCGCGUCUAGGAUCUCUCUUUCAUAAGGAACCAAUGGAACGCAGCGAGGGCGUGUGAACGUUCAUUGCGACGGGAGGUGGAUCAGCCGUUGGAGAGAAACUGCGAGCAGUUUUGAUUAACGAGGGUGCAUAUACACUCACCGGGAAGGAUUUCGAGAAGGGUCGACCGACGGGAGCCAUACUACCAUAUGCACCGGCGUCUGGCCUUGGAUCAUCCAGAUUCCCCGCUCCCUACCCUGCUGUUAUCCUCGCUUUCUCGUCCUGACCUUCCUUCUCUUUCGUUCUCGUCGUCGCCUUGCAUCGGGGUCAACGAACUUGCGCAGAAGAUAUGGAUCGUUAAGCGGGUUCUGCACCCCGCCGCUCGACGACACCCUGGAAAGUUCCAUGACGCAUACUAGGAAACGCCGAUGAUCCCUUUGAGCCUGAAAAUUUCAAUGGUCGAAAGGAAGGAUGACAGGAAGGAUACUUUUUACAGAUCUUGACGAUAGGAAAAAAACAAAAAAUAGUGUGUGAAAAAGAAUAAAAAUCUGGAAAGUGAUUCUUUUGCUAAA